UUUGUUACUUAAACAGCAAAUACACAAUGUUGUGAUUGCAGCUUGAGAAACUCCAUGCCAUUGGAUACAAGGCUGUUCUGCUUCUUUGCAAGGAGACAAAAAGAAUGAAGUCAAGUGUGAAAUAUUAACCCCUCUCUGCACACUCUCCACCUAUGCCCAGGACUACCUUUAGAAGAUGGGUUCACUUUAUGAAUACCUUUGUGAAGUCCCCAAAAGAGAGCAAGCUUUUGGGAAUGUUGGGAAGAGCACAACACAUGCAUGUCAAGUCCCAGCUCACCACAUUUGCAAUUUGGCAUCCAGGAACCCACAGAAUUUGACUAGGAUGGAAACAGGAUUCCAGUGGCAAUGAUGACCAGCUGAUGAUGCUACGUCUCACACCCUGUAAUCCAUUGGAGAACACAAGCAACCCAGAGUAGGUGAGGGCCACACAGGUGGAAGAGACAAGAACAUGCUGGUGGAGCCCAUGAGUAAUACAGAAGGGCAGGUGGAGCGGAUGAGCACUGCAGAGGAGCAGGUGGAGCAGAUCAGC